GACACUAGAACGUUCUCCUUCUUCGUCUCUCUUUUUUUUUUUUUUUCAAUCCUUCUUUCCUCCUUUCUUUAUUCCUUUCCAUUUCUCCAAAACACCAGAACAUCUUCUUCGUCUUUUUUUUUUUUUUUUUUUUUUUUUUUCUUUCUUCCUUUUUUAAUCCUUCUUUCCUCCUUUCUUUAUUCCUUCCCUGCCAUUUCUCCAAACACCAAAACAUUCUCCUUCUUUGUGGCUGAGAGGGAAGGGCUUGGAGAUCGAAAAUGGGGUCGGAGUCAGAGUCAUCCGGGUUUGAUUGGGUGGUGUUCGCCGAUUUGAUCGAACCCAGAGCUCGGUGUUUUUGACGCUUCGACUUCGAUUUUGUCCUGAAUGCAAUGCAGGAUCAUUGUAUAGCCAUCUGGUUUUUAGUGGAGUAGAUUUUGAUAUAGUUCGUCAUUCACAUACUUACCCAGAUUUGGAUCGUGGACUCAAGCUCUCUGAUGAAGAUCUAGAAGAUCUAGAAUUGGGAACAAAUCUCAUUUGUAGUUCGUUGUCAAGUGCUUUGACCUUCGAAAUGGACCAAAGAAUAGAGAUAAGAGACAAAGAUGCGUGUGGCAUGCAAGAGGCUUGCUCCAAUUUAUUAGAUUGCAAUUUGGGCAAUUUGGCCAAGUUGAAACUCGCCUUCUCCAUAUCAAGAUCUAUUGGGCAAGCUUUUGUUGCAAAAUUUAUGGGGUUGACUAUUUUGUGACCCAAACAAACUCCGAUACAGUGAUACUAACUGAUACAUUGAACAAUUUGCAAAUUCUAAAGUAUUUCUUAAAAGAUGAUUUAAAUAGUUCUGAAUAUUUACCUUCUGUGUUAAAAGUUCACUUCUUGAAUUGAUUGAACCAACUCGGUUGAUUACAA